CGCGUGAGUGAUGAAGGCUUCGGGUCGUAAAGCUCUGUCAGAGGGGAAGAAUCUCCCGUCGGUUAAUACCCGGCGGGCCUGACGGUACCCUCAAAGGAAGCACCGGCUAACUCCGUGCCAGCAGCCGCGGUAAUACGGAGGGUGCAAGCGUUGUUCGGAAUUAUUGGGCGUAAAGCGCGUGCAGGCGGCUCGCUAAGUCUGAUGUGAAAGCCCUGGGCUCAACCCAGGAAGUGCAUUGGAAACUGGCGAACUUGAGUACGGGAGAGGAAAGUGGAAUUCCGAGUGUAGGGGUGAAAUCCGUAGAUAUUCGGAGGAACACCAGCGGCGAAGCGGCUUUCUGGACGAUACUGACGCUGAGACGCGAAAGCGUGGGGAGCAAACAGGAUUAGAUACCCUGGUAGUCCACGCCGUAAACGAUGGGCACUANGUGUCGCGGGUAUUGACCCUGCGGUGCCGUA
rnacentral:rRNA from 1 species